rnacentral:misc_RNA from 1 species
GAUGAAGAACGUAGCGAAACGCGAUAUUUCUUGUGAAUUGCAGAAGUGAAUCAUCAGUUUUUGAACGCACAUUGCACUUUGGGGUAUCCCCCAAAGUAUACUUGUUUGAGCGUUGCUUCUCUCUUGGAAUUGCUUUGCUCUUCUAAAAUUUCGAAUCAAAUUCGUUUGAAAAACAACACUAUUCAACCUCAGAUCAAGUAGGAUUACCCGCUGAACUUAAGCAUAUCAAUAAGCGGAGGA